UUUGCAUCUUUUAAUAUUUCAGCUCUUGUCCAUGAGAGUUUAUCCCCAGAUGAGAGUUUAAAUACUUGCCAAUGUAAUGUUGUGGAUGAGAGAUGGGAAAAGUCUGCAGCAGUGCUAGCUCACCAAGGACUGCAGAACUGUCAAUCAAGGAGGACAUUCUAAAUAGAAUGGGGGCCAGGAAGGACCACUGAAGAAGGAACAGCCAAGAAGGUCUGGCUUCUGUAGCAGAAGGGACUCUGAAGAAGCAGUUUCAAGGUAACAACCACACAAGGAUUGAUUUUCUGGAUAAUGACUUCAAAAGUUGGACAAAAUGAUGGUUCUGCAGUAUGAUUGGAUGGCUGCCUCCAUUAUCACCUUUUACAACCCUGACUACAUGAGGAGAAGAGAAGAGACUUGGGGAACCAAUCAAAUUCAGAAUAUUGAAAAGGUUAAGGCAAAGCCGCAG
rnacentral:lncRNA from 1 species